rnacentral:rRNA from 1 species
AUUGAACGCUGGCGGCAGGCCUAACACAUGCAAGUCGAACGGUAACAGGAAGCAGCUUGCUGCUUCGCUGACGAGUGGCGGACGGGUGAGUAAUGUCUGGGAAACUGCCUGAUGGAGGGGGAUAACCACUGGAAACGGUAGCUAAUACCGCAUAACGUCGCAAGACCAAAGAGGGGGACCUUAGGGCCUCUUGCCAUCGGAUGUGCCCAGAUGGGAUUAGCUAGUAGGUGGGGUAACGGCUCACCUAGGCGACGAUCCCUAGCUGGUCUGAGAGGAUGACCAGCCACACUGGAACUGAGACACGGUCCAGACUCCUACGGGAGGCAGCAGUGGGGAAUAUUGCACAAUGGGCGCAAGCCUGAUGCAGCCAUGCCGCGUGUAUGAAGAAGGCCUUCGGGUUGUAAAGUACUUUCAGCGGGGAGGAAGGGAGUAAAGUUAAUACCUUUGCUCAUUGACGUUACCCGCAGAAGAAGCACCGGCUAACUCCGU